CGUCAGCUCGUGUUGUGAAAUGUUGGGUUAAGUCCCGCAACGAGCGCAACCCUUAUCCUUUGUUGCCAGCGAUUCGGUCGGGAACUCAAAGGAGACUGCCGGUGAUAAACCGGAGGAAGGUGGGGAUGUCGUCAAGUCAUCAUGGCCCUUACGAGUAGGGCUACACACGUGCUACAAUGGCGCAUACAAAGAGAAGCGACCUCGCGAGAGCAAGCGGACCUCACAAAGUGCGUCGUAGUCCGGAUCGGAGUCUGCAACUCGACUCCGUGAAGUCGGAAUCGCUAGUAAUCGUGGAUCAGAAUGCCACGGUGAAUACGUUCCCGGG
rnacentral:rRNA from 1 species